UCAAAGAAGUUUCUUCUAGAUCUACGGAACGAAUCAUGGGUAAUAUUUAGGGGAAUCCCCAACUUAAUGAAGGUUUUUCUAUCUCACCUACUGAAGAGCUCGCUAUCCUAGCAAGGAUAGGUAGCACAAGUUAAGACAGGGAUAGGAUCGUUUCGAGAAUGGGGCUUAUCCUAACGGUAGGAUGUCCUAACUCCUGUCUUAACUACUUAGGAUCUGUCUUAGCUGGGACACUUUCGAGAAUAGGGGCCCUGAUCAUUUACUCCAAUUCAUAAGCUUUCUAAAUGAUUGACAAUCUUUCCAAAUGGAUCACAAUUACCACUGUCAGGGCGGCCAAUAUGGCAAUGAAGACAAAUUUUUAUGGAACUUGACAUCUAACUAAAACAUAAAUCUUUCAUUUUGAUUGGACAAUCAGUUUUGCUCUGGGUUUACCUAUAUGGAUAGUUUGUCAGAUCUUGAUAAGGAGGGGUAUCAAAUCCCGAUGACUAGGGGAAUCAAAUCCUGAUAACUAGAGGUAUCAAAUCCCGAUGAAGAGGGUAUCCAAUCCAGAUAAGGAGUUGUAUCAAAUCAUGAUAACUUGGGGUAUUGAAUCAUGAUGAAGAGGGUAUAAAAUCCUGAUGAGGAGGGGUAUCAAAUCCUAAUCAAAAGGGGUAUCUGAUCAAAUCAAAUCAGAUUAACGACCUGAUGUGAAUGAACUUGUUCCUCCAGAUAGCACUGAAGACAGUCGAGUCCCACCACUAUGGCCAGUAUCAGAGCAAUCCAUUUAAACUGCCAUAUAAGUCAUUCUGUCAAUGUUGCCUAAGUUUAUCCCUGUGAAAUAUACCUGUAUGGAUUAUAUGGACAGGUAGACACUAUCUGGUUAGUCACAGCACUUUCUUUACUAGUGGUUCAGUAACACAGCCAGGUUUUAGGAAAAACAGUUAGUCCAGAUAUUGUCAGGUCUUGGACUGACAAGCUAGUGCUUGUAAUGCCAUAAAAUUCAUAUGUAAUUAUUGUGAAAUGAAUGUAAUCGUACAGAAAUAAAAUCAUUCUAGACCCAAUUCAGAGGUUGUAUUUUCAGACAGGAUAUCAUUGAUGGUCGGUCCAACAAGGAAAUAUCUUGUUAUAUCUGAUCACUUGAUCUUGCUCAUAAAUCCAGUAUUCUCAACGAGUCCUCUUAUUUGAAAUAUCUUCCAGCUCGUGUUGAAACUAGGAUACAUGUAAUGUCAUUUCAAUUAUGGCUGUGUAUUGGCUGAACAAUUGUGGCGAGGUAUUGGGUGCUAACGUGUUUGACACUCAUUGACACUUACUGUACAUGCAGAUCCUAUUUCAAUAUACUAAAGUAAAUAUUCCUUAGCAUGGUCAGACGUUCCCAUUUUGUAGUCAUGGAUACAGGGGAGAUAACAAUGUGAGAGAACAGUCACUUCAGUGUUUCCUGUCAUUUUUAAGGGAAACUUUGUGAAUAUUUUGUGUAGAUUUUAGGUUAGAUAAUAUAAAUGUUAACAAACUUGUGCAUGUAUUUUUAUACUGUUUUUCCAAUAUAUAUACAGAAAACAAAAAUAUUACAAAACUGGCUAGAAAGAAAACGUGAAGUAUUGGUAACUGGGCAGAUCCUUGUUUCUCACUUUUGACACUAAGUGGGAAACAGCUGAUGUUUGUCUACGUUGACUGUAACUAGAGGUGACGAGAGUUGCGGAUUGUUAACUGGCGAUUGUUCGCUGCAAUUAGAAUUUAUGGAUAUUGGUCAUAUGGACAAGGUGCCAUACUCAGAUCAAAAUUCCUGGUUCAAAUCCCACCAUGACAAACAGAUGAUUACCUUUAUCCAGAUGAUACAGUUAAUAUUGCUAAUGAUGAUUUGUUUUAAAUUACUGUUUCAGUCUGAAUUAUCUCAAAUUACAAAACUUGAGGGUUUCAGAGUAUGUACCACCCCUACCUAUCUGAAGUGUGAUAAACUUAUGUGAGGUGCUUCAAGAGCUCUGUGUGACUGAAAGAGGUGCUUCAGGAGCUAUGUGUGACUGAAAGAGGUGCUUCAAGAGCUGUGUUAUGCUGAGAGAGGUGCUUCAAGAGGUGUGAGAUAGAUGUUCUUCAUUAACUGUAUAACUGAAGAAGGUGCUUAAAGAGCUGUAUGUGAAUAAAGGGGUGCUUUGAGAGCUGUUAUGAGAGAGGUGCUUCAAGAGGUGUGAGAUAGAUGUUCUUCAGUAACUGUAUGACUGAAGAAGGUGCUUAAAGAGCUGUAUGUGAAUAAAGGGGUGCUUUGAGAGCUGUUAUGAUGAGAGAGGUGCUUCAAGAGGAGUGUGAAUGAUAGCAAGUCUCAUGACAUUCCUUUCAUGUGGUCUCAUACAGCAUUUGAAAUAACUGCCGGCAUGCUGUCCCGUGGCUAGUAGUUUUCUGUUGGGGCCAGUCAUCUUUCGAACCCAGUAUCCCACCUGUACAGUGACAGGGUGAUGUGAUAAAGCUGGAAAAUUGAUGUUGAGUGGGCAUGAACAUUAAGGUCAGUGCUAGGUGUUAACAAGGUCAGAUUUUAUGACAUUUUCUAUCAGUUUCCUUUAGUCACGUGUUUGAAUCCCAUAUUUAGUAGAAUUUUAUGGUUUGCCUGCACCAUAUUUAAGGUGUGAGUUUCACCACUGACGUCCAGUUGUACAGCUCAUCAGUUUGAACUUUCUCCCAAUGCAUACUGAAUAUAAAGCGGUUUUAAACCCAGUUCACUCACUCACUGACAUCUGAACUCACCAGGGAUCAUCUCUCAUCUUUCAUGUAAAGAAUAAACCCAUCACAGUCACUGAAGAGCUGUCGCCAUGGGCUAUACAGUCUUUUUGCCAUGGCCUUUCAUUACAGAAAUACUGUUCAAAGUGGCAUUAAACCCAACUCCCUCACUCACUCAGACAACAAGUCUUCCCAAUCUGAUUUUCAAAUUUACGAUCACAUUCGUAGUUGGGUUUUUUGUGACAGUGCGUGUUUGUUAAUACUUGUGCGUGAAAAGAGCUAACCAUUCCUGUUGUUGUGGUUGCUGGUUGCCAAAAUUCGGACAAUUUGCAGGUGAAAAAAAAUCCAAGCACUGAUGAUAUUCUGAUAUGGUAGGAAGUCGCGGAGUUAAAAAUUGUUUAAUACCAUGGUAACAGGCGUUUUUGUGAUGGGUUUCUCUGACAACUCGGCAUGUUGCUUUAAUGCAUACAUUCAACAUUGACAUUAAGACAUAAAUGAAAAGAUGAGUAUACACCUAUAGAAAGUAACAUGGUCCUAUAUGGGGAUAUAUAAUUGGGUGAACACUUCCCCAAAAUAUCCAUGGUCCAAAACCUUUGCUUUUUGUUAUUAAUGUAUAUAAAAUAGGUCUAGGUUUGAUAACCCAUGUGGGUAAAGCAUAUGAAGCCUAUUUCUUGGGGGCGGUGGGGUAGCCUAGUGGUUGAAGUGUUCGCACGUCGUGCUGAAGACCUGAGUUCGAUUCCCAACAUGGGCACAAUGUGUGAUGCCCAUGCCUGGUGCCCCUCGCCAUGAUAUUAUGGAAUAUUGCUAAAAGCGGCGUAAAACCCAACUAACUAUUUCUCAUGUAAUUAUCACAAUAUUGCUAAUACAAGCUUAAAACCAUACCUACGCACUUUUAAUGGUAUUUAUUUAAUUCCUGAUAAAUUUAUUUGUUUUGUGUAUUACGUGUCAUAAUGAAAUAAGGAAAACAACUUGACAAUUUUGUUACACCUCUGUGACAUUAGUGAUUAAGACUCUCUUCUCAUCAAUACGGUUUCACUUUGGAAGGUAUUUUUUAAUUUCUGACAAAAUCAAGUAUUUUUGUCUAAAAGGUUUAUAUUGAAAUAAAGAAACCAGCACCUAUGGCCUUAUGGUGGUAAUGAUUGGACCGCUUUGCUAAUAUGCUGUUAUUCAGCACUACCCAAUAGUGGUACAGUUUUCAUGAGAGGUGCAUGGUAUUCUCGUGGGUAUCAGUCUCACCUUAGACAUACAGAUGUUAUCUGAAUGAGCUCAGUGUAUUUGAUAUACUUCCAAACUAUGUUUAAGUUAAAGAAAUAUAAAAUAUGGUUUACUGAUUUACAAUAUGUAAGGAUUCAUUCUCUGUUGAAAGUGGACCGGCUUACAUUCAUGAUAUAUAUACUUUACAUAGGGAUUUUAUCUUUCCAUGAUAUACAAAACUGAGAGGGCAAGUGUAAAUUUAUGUACAAUAUAUAGUUAAUGAUGAAUAUGCCAUAAACAGACAAAAAAUAAAAAUAAACAAAACUGGCCGUGCUAUUGCUGGAAUAUUGCUAAAAGUGGCGUAUAACUAAACUCACUGUGUUUACUGGGCCUUGUUUUACAAGAAGUCGUGGCACAUAGAUGAAUGUAAGUAUGUGAUCAAUUAUCGCAGUCUUAAGUCUCCCCCAAACUGUUCAUUGUUUAUAACAUUUUUGGUUCAGCGGAGAACAAAGAUAUAACACACUGGAUAAUUGAGGUUGUUUGAAGUCAUAAAAAAUCAAAUCUUGACUGUUAAUACCUUCUGAGAACUGAUGUGUUGGUGCAUCUUUCACAUUGCAAAAUAUCAAGUCAGGUGUGAUGGCAGCUGUUUCUCUGUUUUAUGUGAAAGUCAUCAUUGCAGAACCCAUCGUAAUUGUUUGUAAAUGUGUGGAGCUUUGUGAGUAUGUACGUUGGCAGCAAGGCAGCCGUAAUGUCGUUGGAACAAGUUAGUUAUUUCACAUGAGUUUAUGUUUGGGCAAAUGCUUGGAUGAUCCAAGUGAAUGUUUGUGUUUGACUAUCACAGUGUCCAUUUUGAUCAAAAGCUGUGUUGAAUUAAAACAUGUUGACAAUGAAAUUGUCAGUUUUACAAGUGAAUAAAUCUAAAAGUAAAA